rnacentral:rRNA from 1 species
GACGAACGCUGGCGGCGUGCCUAAUACAUGCAAGUAGAACGCUGAAGGAGGAGCUUGCUUCUCUGGAUGAGUUGCGAACGGGUGAGUAACGCGUAGGUAACCUGCCUGGUAGCGGGGGAUAACUAUUGGAAACGAUAGCUAAUACCGCAUAAGAGUAGAUGUUGCAUGACAUUUGCUUAAAAGGUGCAAUUGCAUCACUACCAGAUGGACCUGCGUUGUAUUAGCUAGUUGGUGGGGUAACGGCUCACCAAGGCGACGAUACAUAGCCGACCUGAGAGGGUGAUCGGCCACACUGGGACUGAGACACGGCCCAGACUCCUACGGGAGGCAGCAGUAGGGAAUCUUCGGCAAUGGACGGAAGUCUGACCGAGCAACGCCGCGUGAGUGAAGAAGGUUUUCGGAUCGUAAAGCUCUGUUGUAAGAGAAGAACGAGUGUGAGAGUGGAGAGUUCACACUGUGACGGUAUCUUACCAGAAAGAGACGGCUAACUACGUG